UGUGUGUGUGUGUGUGUGUUUGUAUGGGUGCAAACCUUACCCUACAAGCCGGUUUUAUGGGAUUAAGUGUUAAAGUCUAUUUUUUAACAUGGUAUCUAGAGUCUAAGGUUCUUUAGAAAAAUGUUUGUUACCACAAUUAGAGCCAUCGUCAUCGUCGUUGUCACCAUCCGACCGAAGCAUCAAUUUUAAUCGACAAAAACAAUUUUGUUCACCAUGGUUUUGCUCAUCUCGGCCAAGUGACCACAACACUGUCAAGAUCGCUACCAUCAAAGUCCAAACCCGCUCUCAUGAUCACAGUUCACAUUUUUCAUGCUUUCCUAGCUACUCCUGGCUACACGUGUGUCGUAUCUAAUGUCAACCACCUUUGUUGACUCGUUGCAACCUUCUCGUUCUAAACACUAGUAAAAAAAAGGUUUUUAAACCUGGUUAAUAUGUCUCGGUUUGCACAAAUCCAAAGCAAAUAUAAAUACGGUGACAGUAUUGUAAUUUGAGUGAACUUAUAAGCCUCGGUUCUUUGAACCGAGGUAAAAUAAUUAUAUUACCUCGGUUAGAAACACCUGAAGCGUAGGUGCGUAUAUUCAUCGGUCGGAAGAAGAAAUCGAGGCAGUAGAAGUGUAUUACUUCGGUCAAGGGUAUAACUCAGGCAUGUUCAAUAUUUCUACUGCCCGAAGCAAGUUACCCUAGCCUACUGUUGCACUGUUCUCUGCAUCCAAGCGAAAAGUUAUGCAUUGUUCUUCUCUCUCGCUGCAUCCAAGCAAAAAGUUCUCCGCUCCAUCAUCGUCUCCACCACAGGGUCGUCGAUAGGUUGUCGUCGCCGCUUUCUCGCAUUGCUUUCUCACCUAUUACUCGCGAAUCCAAUUUCCUCGUGACCUCCAAUCGUAAGCAUAUUUCCCACCUCUAUUAGGGUUCUCUUCGAAGGAUAUUUCCCCUUUUUCAUCUUUCAUGGCCAUCUUCACGAAGCUCCGCCGUCACGGAUGGCGGCCUGUCUACUGUCAUCGCUAAGCCCAACGACUAUAGCGGCGAGUUUGCGGCAAAGGAGGUUGGAGAUUUGUUCUUGGCAGCGAAGGAUUUGCGCUAGGGUACGAAGGAGGUAGAGAAAGGUUCGUUUUUGGAGGUGGAAAAGGACUUUGUGCGGCGUAGCUCCGGGAGGACGGGUGGGCGGAAGAGGACUUUAAGGGCGGCGGCGGCGGCGAUGGUGGAGGUUUACAGGCAGUGGCGGGGCUUCCUCUCCCAACUAUGGCGACGGGCGCGACAGCGGAGCUCUUGCAGCGGUUGCGCGCUCGCGGCAAAGGAGCAAUUUAGUGAUCCAUUUGUCUCGCGAUCUGUUGUCGUGGUGGCGCCUUCGUCGCAGUGAUUGUCCGGUGGUGCUGUAGGGAGAAAGCUGCGGUGCUGGUUGCAUCUGUAGGGGUCACGGCGGUGGCUCUACCCUUCAAAAUCGCUCGUUUAACAAAGUUUGAGUGAUGUAUUGUUGGGAUUUUUCCUGUUGGCAUCUUAGAGCUGAUAAAAUUGAUCUCAAGAGUUUGGAUGUCCAGCUUCUUUUAUUCUGGAUGAUUGUUUUCCACUUCUUGGAUGCCCAGUUUGGAUGCCCAGCUUCUUGUAUUUCCACUUCAUUUAUUUACUUUAUUCUGGAUGAUUUUUUUUCUUUUUUUGUCUAACAGGGUAUGAAUAAAUAUACGUAGUGUGGAGAAGCAUCUGGAGAACAAAGAUGUUGUAGUCCAUGGAAUUAUUUUUGGGACAGAAACAACAAGGUUGUGGUAAAGCUGCCACGUGUGUGGAGAAUUGAAAAUUGAAGUAUUCUGUAUAAGAAUUGUUUGUUAUCUUUAUUUAUUUUGUAUAUUAUUUCUCUGAUAAUUUGGUAGCAGUAUGUACAAGUACAACUAUAUAAUUGGCAUGUGAUUUGUUUCAUGCUGAAACAAAGUUUGGAUAUCUUCUGGAAGCACUUGACAUGGGAGCUCCACCACAUGAUGAAAGGUUCAAUGAUAUUCUUGGAAGUGCAUAUUAUGUAGCUCCUGAAGUUUUGCAUAGAUCUUAUGGGACAGAAGCAGAUAUAUGGAGCAUUGGUGUAAUUGCUUAUAAUUUUUUAUGUGGAAGCCGACCCUUUUGGGCAAGGACAGAAUCUGGCAUAUUGCAGUCACAUUCAAGCUUAAUAUAAAUG
rnacentral:sRNA from 1 species